rnacentral:snRNA from 1 species
AUGGCUUCUUGGCCUUUUGGCUAAGAUCAAGUGUAGAAUGUAAGAAUGAGAAUACUCUAAUAUCUAAUAUAAUUCUCUGGAGAUACAGAUGGCCAGUAUUUCAGAUGUACAUACACCUGCAGUUUUUUUUUCAAGGUCUAGGUGAC